AUUUGACCUCAAAUCAGGUAGGAACACCCGCUGAACUUAAGCAUAUCAAUAAGCGGAGGAAAAGAAAAUAACAAUGAUUCCCCUAGUAACUGCGAGUGAAGAGGGACAAGCUCAAAUUUUAAAUCUAUCGGGUUUUACCUGAUCGAGUUGUAAUUUGAAGAAGCGUUUUCUGCGUAUUUGGUCAGCCUAAGUCCUAUUGAAUGAGGCAUCAUGGAGGGUGAUAAUCCCGUCCGGUUGAUCAUUUGCGUUUUACGAUACGCUUUCUAAGAGUCAAGUUGUUUGGGAUUGCAGCUUAAAAUGGGAGGUAAAUUUCUCCUAAGGCUAAAUAACGGCGAGAGACCGAUAGCGAACGAGUACCGUGAGGGAAAGAUGAAAAGAACUUUGAAAAGAGAGUUAAACAGUACGUGAAAUUGUUGAAAGGGAAACGAUUGAAGCCAGUCGUACCUUCGGGUAAUCAGCCUUUCGGGUGCGAUUCUGUGGAGUGUGAGGAGCUUAAACACCUUCAUGUUUUGCAUAUUCGUACUCUUGGGUGUACUUGCCCGUGUGGUUGGUUAACAUCAAUUUUGGUGGUCAUAAAAUGACUGGGGGAAUGUAGCUUCGAUCUUGUAUUGAAGUGUUAUAGCCUUCGGUAGAUGUGAUGAUCGAGAUUGAGGAUUGCAACGGAUACCCUUCGGGGCUACCUGUCUGAUCUCUGAUCGUUGCUCUGGUGCCGAAAGCUUGCUUACGGUUAUCAAAGUCGAUGGUCAAUAGGUUAGAACGGGUUAAAUUCGUUAAGGAUGUUGACGUAAUGGCUUUAAACACCCGUCUUGAAACACGGACCA
rnacentral:rRNA from 1 species